GACAGACACUCCCUCAGGCUCAUGCCUUAGUUGACUUUCUCCUUCUCCUUCUCCAUCUCUUCAACCUUCAGCCAAUACUCUGCGACAACUUUCUUCCAUAGGAUUAUUAAAGGAUCCUGGGCUAAGGUGGUUAUUAGUGUAUUCAUCUCUUCCACAAUAGGGAAGGAAGCAUGUAAGGUUCCUGGGUUCCACCUAUAAGUGUACUUUUGCCUCUUCUUCAAGAUUGGAUUAGACACUUUUGAAACUUGACAGUCUAAAUGUUGCUCAAUGGGAUGCCUCUGGUGACAGAAGUACUAGCACGUACCACUAGGGAUUGGCUGGGUUUGUAUUAAGAUAUUAGAUCAUGAACACUGAGAAUAACAAAUGGGUAUUUUGUUGUGAUUAUGUAUGUAUUCAUAUAGCAGAACGCUUUGUUAUUACCAACUUAUUGAAUCCUCCACCUUCUUUCACCACUCAAACAUGAUUAUUUCACUUGUG